GCUUGCUUCACUAACCAAUGCUCCGGAGUGCAUUAAAGCCAUCAUCUGCAGUGUACAUCCACGGUGUGCGGACUUCUUUUGAUGUUGUAUUAUUUA